rnacentral:misc_RNA from 1 species
CUGGCCAUCUGGUGGUGCCUGCACUCCUCGCUGCAGAACGGCGUGUCCCCUCUGUACAUGAAGAUGUCGCGGUCCCCGGCGAGGCGCUUCCCGCAGAGGGAGCAGGCGUCCAUGGCGCGGCGUGCAUCGCAGAUUCGAAGCAGACCGCCAGCGCAUUUUGGCCGCCCUUCUGCUCUGCUCGCCUUGGUGCCGCCGGCGUUGUUAACUGCGAUGCCGCAGAAUCCACCGGAAGAUCUGCAGCAGCACUAA